ensembl:lncRNA
GCUAGUCAUGAGCAGCCGUCGUCACCAUGAAGGAUUUUAGUACUUUUCUGGAUUAUGAGAAGAUACAAGAAUUGGGCUCUUGAAAUCGGCUCCUGAAAAUACCUAACUCCCAGCACAGAGUGCCUCAUUUCUGCUCUCUACCCUGAGCGCCUUUCAGGGAUUGACGGUCAGCAACUACAGCAGCAUGUGACUUAAUCCUUGUAUAGUGUGUAUAUUUGGAGAAGGAAAUGGCAACCCGCUCCAGUGUUCUUGCCUGGAGAAUCCCAGGGACGGGGAAGCCUGGUGGGAUGCUGUCUAUGGGGUCACACAGAGUUGGACACGACUGAAGCGACUUAGCGGUGGCAGCAGCAGCAGCAGUGGCAGAAGGCCUCAAAAACCAUCCAGCUGAUCGAAUCCUCACAUCUUACAGAUGGAGAAACUGAGGCUCAGGGAAGAAAGGGCACGUCCAGGUCCUGCUGCAGCACAGAAGACCCGUAAGAGGAAGAGGAGCAGGGGACCGUGACUGGGCGCCUCCAGCAGCAGGAUCUGAGCGCUGUUGCUGAGGAAGGCCAGCCACAGAGGGAAGGGGACAUCGGGACAGGAAGAGAGCCCUACCCACUCCCACCCCCAAAGCCCCAGACCAGUCCCCAGCCUCACUCCUCUUUCACCUCCGUCUCCACCAGAAGUCACCCCAGGCCACUCUUUCAUCCCUCUGCAUCCCUCCAAUGGACCCAAAUCCCACCCUGGCCCCCAGUCCUGACCCUCCCACAGGGCCCCCUGGGGCUCCCAGCUUGUGGCGGGCAGACUCCCUUCUACCUUCCCCUCUGUCAGGAGCAACUGGUCCCACGUGGAAGCCCCUCCUGAAG